AGGAGGAACAACCCCAGUGGCGGCGGCCAGCUCUGGAGCCCUGGAGUCAGCUCCCGCAGUGACUACAGAGCUCUCCGUCUGCAGGGCCUGGAGGCUCCAGGGCGGG
rfam:Canis lupus familiaris chromosome 10, whole genome shotgun sequence.